UUUAUCAAAAUCAAAUAAUAUAAGCAUUUUCAUUUCAAAGACUAUGUCUUAAUCUUAUCCAAAAUCUGUCAUAUGCUCCAUUUAGUAUCUUGGCUCCAUUUCAAACUUCAUUACUUUGGUAUUGAAACCAAGGCUAUUGAGGCAGAUUAUUUCGUCCAAAAUUCUUUCCAAUUCAAGUGAAAAUUUCAAAUUUUAAAUAGAUUAAAUCCAUUUCUAUCCUUGUUCAAAAACGCUAGAGCAGAAUCUGCCUUUAGCUAUUUUUGGCUUCAUUUUCAUUAUUUUGGCAUUGUAACCAAGAGAAUUGAAUCAGAUCAAUUCGUCCAACGUCUUAGCCACAAAUCUGUUCUUGGUUUUGAAACCGAGAACGUUGAACAGGUAUGUUAAGGCUCUCCCUUCUUACUUUUGGCAUGGUCCAAAUUAUACUAAAGAAACGAGCAAAUACACAGUUUCUAUAAAUUACUCUAUUCAUAAAAAUAGUAGGGGUGUCUAUAUUCUUGAAUCCCCAUGAGAAUUAUUAUUAUCUUAUAUUCAUGGGUCUCAAAAUAAUACGCAGUUGGAAAAGUUUAUCCGGAAGAAAUAUCGAGAUUAUUAUGUAUUUUUCAUGCAUUUCACUCAUUUAUACAUGUGCAUUGACCCAUGACCAGAAGGCGUUAUAUAUGUGUAUAUAUGUAUAUGGGAUAUAGGAAAAGGUUACGGUGUUAUAUACGCACCACCACCUUAUCAGCUGGUAUAUGAUGAUGAUGUUGCCCAUUGUGGCUGAAAUAUGAUUCAAACGGCCCUAUAUACACGUAUAUAUGUAAAUAUGAUUCAAACAGCUUUAUAUAUGUGUAUAUAUGUAAAUAUGAUUCAAAUGGAAUUAUAUACGCGUAUAUAUGUAAAUAUAUGUAUAUGGGAUAUGGAAAAAGGUUAUGGCGUUAUAUACGCACCACCACCUGAUCAGCUGGCAUACAAUGAUGAUUUUGCCCACAGUGGCUGAUAUGAUAUAAUGGGAUGCCCUCAGAGGCUGUUGAUGUUAUGAAACAUGUACUUAUGCAUGACAUGACAUUCAUACGCAUAUGCAUGACGUUAAAAGUAAUUUAUAAUUUACAAAGUUAUUCAGACUUACAGGUUGAGUCGUGUAAUCAUAUGUCUUCCAUGUCUCUUAUGUAUUUAUUUAUGUGCCUUACAUACUCGGUACAUUAUUCGUACUGACGUAUCUUUUUCCUGGGGAUUCUGCGUUUCAUGCCCGCAGGUCCCGAUAGACAGGUCGAGAGCCCUCCAAGUAGGCUAUCUGCUCAGGGGAAGAUGUUGGUGCGCUCAUUUGCUUCGAAGUUGCUCGUUUGGUUUGUAUGAUUUAGACGUGUAUUAUUUGGUAUGGCGAGACUCUGUCCCGACCUUUAUGGCACUUAUGUAUUCUUAGAGGCUUGUAGACAUAUGUCGUGUACGUAAAAUAUUGUACAGCCUUGUCGGCAUAUGUUUUGACUUUAUGGAUUAUGUUGGCCUAUUAGGCCCGUAUGUCACGUGUAUAUGAUGAUGUAAUAAGAAAGAUACGUUACGUUGGUACUCGAUCGAGUAAGGUACCGGGUGCCCGUCGCGGCCCAUCGUCUUGGGUCGUGACCAAAAAAAUUGAGCAAACAUCUUAUGUAAUUUAUUAACCACAAAUGCAGGAGG
rnacentral:lncRNA from 1 species